GACGAUGUGAUUUGUGUGCGGGUUUCGG
rnacentral:sRNA from 1 species